AGAACACCAUGUGAAGAUGAAGGCAGAGGCAGAGAUGGGGAUAUUAAUGCUGAGAAAAAACUAACUUUAGUGCAACACACAGAAACAGCAUCAACUAUAAAGUUCUGGACAAAGAAAAAUGUAAUUUCUCCCACACCGAAGCCUUGGUUCCACUCAGGAUUGGGCAUCAUCAUAGACUUACCUCCUUGGAAGAGGAGAAGAGCUACUUAGUAACUCUCUUGAGAAAAAUCUCAGAUACCCUAAUCUGUUUUACGAGCAAAAUAGUAUGGAAAAG
rnacentral:lncRNA from 1 species